rnacentral:rRNA from 1 species
UCUUCCCUCUUUCUUCGUGCUUAACACAUGCAAGUCGAACGGAAAGGCCCAAGCUUGCUUGGGUACUCGAGUGGCGAACGGGUGAGUAACACGUGGGUGAUCUGCCCUGCACUUCGGGAUAAGCCUGGGAAACUGGGUCUAAUACCGGAUAGGACCACAUUUUGGAUGGUGUGGUGGAAAGUUUUUCGGUGUGGGAUGAGCUCGCGGCCUAUCAGCUUGUUGGUGGGGUAAUGGCCUACCAAGGCGUCGACGGGUAGCCGGCCUGAGAGGGUGUACGGCCACAUUGGGACUGAGAUACGGCCCAGACUCCUACGGGAGGCAGCAGUGGGGAAUAUUGCACAAUGGGCGCAAGCCUGAUGCAGCGACGCCGCGUGGGGGAUGACGGCCUUCGGGUUGUAAACUCCUUUCGCUAGGGACGAAGCGCAAGUGACGGUACCUGGAGAAGAAGCACCGGCUAACUACGUG